GACGAACGCUGGCGGCGUGCUUAACACAUGCAAGUCGAACGGUAAGGCCCUUCGGGGUACACGAGUGGCGAACGGGUGAGUAACACGUGGGUGAUCUGCCCUGCACUUCGGGAUAAGCCUGGGAAACUGGGUCUAAUACCGGAUAGGACUCCUGCCUGCAUGGGUGGGGGUGGAAAGCUUUUGCGGUGUGGGAUGGGCCCGCGGCCUAUCAGCGUGUUGGUGGGGUGAUGGCCUACCACGGCGACGACAGGUAGCCGGCCUGAGAGGGUAACCGGCCACACUGGGACUGGGAUGCGGACCAGACGCCUACGGGAGGCAGCAGUGGGGAAUAUUGCGCAAUGGGCGCAAGCCUGAUGCAGCGUCGCCGCGUGAGGGAUGACGGCCUUCGGGUUGUAAACCUCUUUCAGCACAGACGAAGCGCAAGUGACGGUAUGUGCAGAAGAAGGACCGGCCAACUACGUGCCAGCCGCCGCAGUAA
rnacentral:rRNA from 1 species